AUGCUAAUCCACACCGUUAGCAUUGCAUCUGUCCCCCUCCGCAGCGCGAUGCGCGCACGAGACACACAGGCACACCGUGCACAUGCAUCGCACAAAACAGAAACGUGCGCAUGCAUGCAUACAUGCACGCACAUAUGCAUGCUUCUGGACCGCGCUGCACCGGGGUCUUUGCUCGGCCCAAAGGUCAAGGGUCACGGCAGGCACGUGGACAAGAAGAGGCCAAAUCCUGGUCAGUGUGUUUAAUACAGAGCAAUAAAACAAUAAAACACCCUGUUUAUAUUCUAACACAAAAACACACAAAGUAUAUGUCUAAAUAAAAUAUGUCACAAGCAUCAAACCACCAAACUGAACUGCUUGAAUUUUUGCACCAGGAGUAAAGCAGCAUAAAGUUAUCCAAAAGCAGUGUGUAAGACUGGUGGAGGAGAACAUGAUGCCAAGAUGCAUGAAAAAAAACUGUGAUUAAAAAUCAGGGUUAUUCCACCAAAUAUUGAUUAUUUCUGAACUCUUAAAACUUUAUGAAUAUGAACUUGUUUUCUUUGCAUUAUUUGAGGUCUGAAAGCAAUAUAUAUAUUUAUAAUUCAAAGGUUGCUGCUAAAAUGAGACUAAGUCCUUAAUCAUCUGUAAUUUCUCUAAAGAAAAGAAAGAACUUCUACGUUUAAUAGUUACAGAGUUCUCAGUGUUUCUGGGUCUUUUUCUAGUUAUUUAGUUAUUAGUUGUGUGUAAGUGUGUAAAUACUGCAGUAGAGAGUAACAGCAGUAACUCCAUCUGUUCCACCACUGCAGCUUUACUACAGAUAAAUACAUUUUUUAAUCACUUUUCAAAGCUCAGUUUUUAUUUUAUUUUAGUGCGGCUGUAAAUAUUUUUUUAACAUUUUAUUUUACAAUAUUAAACUGACUUUUUUUCUGUUUUUAAUCUGUUGCUAAUUUGUUUUUCAUAAAGGCCCUGAUAAAGUUUUUUUAUUUUAUUAAAUAUUUCAAUAUAUUAUAGAAUUUAGUUUUUUCUAAUUAUUGACUGAACCUGAAGGCAAAAUAUACUUAAACAUAUAAAAUAUCAUGAUAUUUAAAUGUGUCCCAGAAUUCAUACAGCUUCAUUUUGGAGGGGCUGAAGACACUUUCUGCUGCAUGUUCAGGAAUCAGCAAUUAAUAAUAAUAUUGAUCUUGCUUAAUAAUUCUCAUAUUGUCUCUAUACUGAGCUUAAAGAGUUAAAGCUUUAUUUGUCCACUCUGUCACGAUAAAAUAUAUCAGUAAUUAAAAUCAUUUUCUGUAGUCUGAAGUCUUUUAAAUAUGAUAAAUAUGAUUUUUUGUUACAGUAAUAUGCAAAAAAUAUAUAAAAAAUAAAUUUCACUCUUUUUUUUUUGUUUUAGAUACAAAAAGCUUAGUAUUUUGAUAUUGACCCUCAUAAUAAUGGAUGUCUGGAGAAUUUUGGACAUAAAACGUUUCGGCAUCAGUCCAACAUGUUAUUGCCCACUAAAGGGUCCAGUCUACACCAUUAAACCCAGUCUGUACACACUGCUGCCCAGUGCCUCGCUGUAAUUAUGACAUAAGAACAUUAAAAGUGAGUGUUUUUUUCUCUUUCGCAGGAUCAAUACGCUGUCUCUCCGCCUGCUCCAAUCAUGGAUUCCCAAUAACGCAUUGCUUUUAUUAUUGUUUUUAAUUGAUGUUUCUUGUUUUAAAUCAUAUUAGAAAGUAUCCUUGACAGAAGCUGCCGCCCCCUACAGACGUCCACGGCCGCACAUGUGAAGCAUUUCUUAAUGGGGAGGUAUUGACCAGGCCUGGUGCAGCCGCUCGGAGAAGGAGCCGUGGAAAAGUGAUUUAUGGCAUCUGUAAGCAAAACACUGCAGAGAUGCACGGCCUCAGUGGGACAGUUCCCGCGGCCGUUAGGGAACCAACAUUACAUUAAAAGCAUGUCUCACGUCCCUCACUGCAGAGAACAGAGCGCCGCAGGACGCUGAUGCAGUUGUUUAAUCAGCUGUUAUAUAAAAUAUGACAUUUUAUGGGUCUAAAAGUUUGUGGACACCAGUUUCUUUAUUGUUUCUUCUUGUUUUAAGGAUGGAAACUAUCUGCUACAGCCUGUAAUUAUCUGUAAUUCUGUAUAAUUGUCUGUGAUCACAUUCAGACUCAGAAAAGCAUCAGUAAAGUCAGGUAGUGAUGUUGAGAUGAUUGAACUCGUCACCGUUACCUGGAUCUCCUACUGUAUGAUCUUGAUUUAGUGGAUCAGAUACAGCAGUGCUGCUGGAGUUUUUAAACACCUCAGUGUCACACCUGUAUUGAGAAUAGUCCACCAACAGCGUGCUGGAAGAUUCAUCCUGUGGGCAGUGUCCUGGAAGAUUUGUCCUGUGGGCAGUGUCCUGGAGGAUUCGUCCUGUGGGCAGUGUCCUGGAGGAUUCGUCAUGUAGGCAGUGUCCUGGAGGAUUCGUCCUGUGGGCAGUGUCCUGGAGGAUUCGUCAUGUAGGCAGUGUCCUGGAGGAUUCGUCCUGUGUGGCGGCGUCCUGGGGGAUUCGUCCUGUGGGCAGUGACCUCGAGAAUUCAUCCUGUGGGCAGUGUCCUGGACGAUUCGUCCUGUGGGCAGUGUCCUGGAGGAUUCGUCAUGUAGGCAGUGUCCUGGAGGAUUCUUCCUGUGGGCAGUGUCCUGGGGGAUUUGUCCUGUGGGCAGUGACCUCGAGAAUUCAUCCUGUGGGCAGUGUCCUGGGGGAUUUGUCCUGUGUGGCGGUGUCUUGUGGGCAGCAUCCUUUCAGAAAAGUAUUUUCGGAAAAAUCCUGAGGGAUGGGUCUUGGGGGAUUUGUCCUGUGGGCAUCAUCCUUUCGGAAGUGUCCUUUUGGAAGAGUCCUGGGGGACGUGUCCUGUUGGCAGUGUCCUUUCGUAAGAGUCCGGGGGGAGGGGGUGGGGGUGUUAUGUGGGCAAUGUCCUGUGGCCAAAGUCCUUUCAGAAGAGUCCUGGGGGAUGGGUCCUGUUGACCAAUUGGUCCUUAUUACUCAGUUGACAAUGUGAUAAUUGUGUAUUUUUGUUUACAUAUAUAACAGUGAACAGUAUUUUAGCUGGUAAUGCUAAAUGACCAAUAUUUUUGUUUUUUUUUUAAUAACAGAAAAGUCAGUUUUGAUUCAUGAAUCUGAAUUUUAUUGUAUGUUUUUCUCUCGCUGCAAAAAUGUGCAUUACAUUACAUUACAUUCAACCGUAUGAACUGAAUUAUAAAUAAAUAAAAUGAAACAAAAUAAAAACGCUGUUAUUUAAUCUGUUCUGUGUUUCUCUCUGAUUUCCUACAUUGUUCUGAUCAAACAGAUCAAAGCAAA